rnacentral:rRNA from 1 species
AGCGAACGCUGGCGGCAGGCCUAGCACAUGCAAGUCGAACGGAUCCUUCGGGAUUAGUGGCGGACGGGUGAGUAACACGUGGGAACGUGCCUUUUGGUUCGGAACAACUCAGGGAAACUUGAGCUAAUACCGGAUGUGCCCUUCGGGGAAAGGAUUUAUCGCCAUUAGAGCGGCCCGCGUCUGAUUAGCUAGUUGGUGGGGUAAAGGCCUACCAAGGCAACGAUCAGUAGCUGGUCUGAGAGGAUGAUCAGCCACAUUGGGACUGAGACACGGCCCAAACUCCUACGGGAGGCAGCAGUGGGGAAGUCUUGCGCAAUGGGCGAAAGCCUGACGCAGCCAUGCCGCGUGAAUGGUGAAGGUCUUAGGAUUGUAAAAUUCUUUCACCGGGGACGAUAAUGACGGUACCCGGAGAAGAAGCCCCGGCUAACUUCGUGCCAGCCGCCGCGGUAAG